GGACGAUUAGCUCAGUUGGCUAGAGCGCCUCGUUUACACCGAGGAGGCCGGGGGUUCAAGUCCUCCAUCGUCCA
rnacentral:tRNA from 1 species